rnacentral:rRNA from 1 species
GACGAACGCUGGCGGCGUGCUUAACACAUGCAAGUCGAGCGGAAAGGCCCUUCGGGGUACUCGAGCGGCGAACGGGUGAGUAACACGUGAGUAACCUGCCCCAGACUUUGGGAUAACCCUCGGAAACGGGGGCUAAUACCGAAUACGACACGGUCUCGCAUGGGAUCCGUGUGGAAAGUUUUUCGGUUUGGGAUGGACUCGCGGCCUAUCAGCUUGUUGGUGGGGUGAUGGCCUACCAAGGCGACGACGGGUAGCCGGCCUGAGAGGGCGACCGGCCACACUGGGACUGAGACACGGCCCAGACUCCUACGGAGGCAGCAGUGGGGAAUAUUGCACAAUGGGCGGAAGCCUGAUGCAGCGACGCCGCGUGAGGGAUGACGGCCUUCGGGUUGUAAACCUCUUUCAGCAGGGACGAAGCGUGAGUGACGGUACCUGCAGAAGAAGCGCCGGCCAACUACGUGCCAGCCGCCGCCGUAACAC